rnacentral:rRNA from 1 species
AGACCGGUUUACUGGUCGUGCUUUUGUACGUACUGGUAUAAUCGGUUUCUCUUUUCUGACAAACUAUAAUGCCAUUAAUUUGGUGUUAUAGGGAAUCAGGACUGUUACUUUGAAAAAAUUAGAGUGUUUAAAGCAGGCAUUCGCUUGAAUACAUUAGCAUGGAAUAAUAAAAUAGGACUU